AGCGAACGCUGGCGGCAGGCCUAACACAUGCAAGUCGAACGGAGUGGCGGACGGGUGAGUAACACGUGGGAACGUGCCCUUUGGUUCGGACCAACUCAGGGAAACUUGAGCUAAUACCGGAUGCCAUUGGAGCGGCCCGCGUCUGAUUAGCAAGGUGGUGAGGUAAAGGCUAACCAAGGCGACGAUCAGUAGCUGGUCUGAGAGGAUGAUCAGCCACAUUGGGACUGAGCCACGGCCCAAACUCAUACGGGAGGCAGCAGUGGGGAAUCUAGCGCAAUGGGCGAAAGCCUGACGCAGCCAGGCCGCGUGAAUGAUGAAGGUCUUAGGAUUGUAAAAUUCUUUCAUCGGGGACGCGGUACCCGGAGAAGAAGCCCCGGCUAACUUCGUGCCAGCAGCCGCGGUAAUAC
rnacentral:rRNA from 1 species